UGGGGCAUGGCUCAGUGGCAGAGCACUUGCCUGACAUGUGCAAGGCCCUGGGUUCCAUCCCCAGCACACCAC
rnacentral:tRNA from 1 species